CUGGAAUGCAUUUCAAUAAACAGAGUGGAGGAUUGCUCGGUCAGACUUCCAACUAGCCAGGUGCUGCCAUCUUGGAUUACGAUCUUGUGAGUGGUGCGGUUCUUCAGACUUUCCGAGCUGGAAUCCCGACAUGAGGGAGUAUUCCGAUUGAAACUUCUGACUUGGAUCUUGGAAAUCCCGACCUCCAAGUACAAGUGGAACGAGGCAACAGGCAUUGGAGUUUUCUGUCUAUACGUAUGAUGUCAGAUCUUUUCGCUACUGAGGGUGUAAUAUAUCUGACAAAAUGUAAUAUAAAAAAAAUCUUGAGUUAAUCUUUCUAGUAUUAAGGAAUGGUCACAAGAAGAGAGAAUCAGUGAUUGUCCAUAAAGGGCAAACCUAAAACAUGCAACCUUAUCC
ensembl:lncRNA